UAUUAUUAUUAUUAUUAUUAUUUUCUUGGUGUGUGUGUGUGUGUGUGUGUGUGUGUGUGUGUGUGUACACACAAACACAUAUGUACACACACACACACAAACCAAGAAAAUAAUAAUAAUAAUA